rnacentral:misc_RNA from 1 species
UAACUCAUCAACAAAUCACUGAAACAACCAAUAAGGGAAUGAAUAGUUGCAGCAGAUGAAGAAUCUUACCCUUUUUCAUUACUUCACAAAAACAAAGGUCGAAGAAAAGGCAAUACAAUAGUGAAAGUCCACAAACACAAUCUAAAAAUUUCAUCUCAUAACUUAAAUUUCACAGCGUAGAUUUGAGUAGAUGAAUUGAAAAAGACAAAAAUCAAACAACUCAAAAUCUUAUCAACCCAGUGUACUAUUUGUCAAAUUACACACACACAAAUAGCUACUACAUCAAUCAAAAAAUUCCUUCCUUUGAUCAAGUAAAAAAAAAAAAUCUAAGUCUACCAUCAUCUAAACCGGCAGCAGAUCCAUAUUAUCACCAUGCCAAAGCUAAAACCACAAGUUUCUUAUCUUAUGCAAGGGAAAAAAAAUACACAAUUCAAAAGAAAAUUUACACAACGUUCCAAAACGACAUAACGCAGCAAUCAAAACUAACAAAUCCGAAACCAAAAACAGUAACGCAGAGAGAAUAUAGGAUUAUACCGAGCGCGUUUCGUAGAGUCGGAAUUUCUGCAAGUAGCUUGAAUUCGGGUCGGGUUU